UACGUAGGGGGCAAGCGUUGUCCGGAAUCAUUGGGCGUAAAGCGCGCGCAGGCGGCACAUUAAGUAAGGUGUGAAAUAUCCCGGCUCAACCGGGAGGGUGCACUUUAGACUGAUGAGCUUGAGGUCGGUAGAGGGGGGUGGAAUUGCUGGUGUAGCGGUGAAAUGCGUAGAGAUCAGCAGGAACACCCGUGGCGAAGGCGGCCCCCUGGGCCGUACCUGACGCUGAGGUGCGAAAGCAUGGGGAGCGAACAGG
rnacentral:rRNA from 1 species